rnacentral:lncRNA from 1 species
AAACGAAGAUUUGAAGGUGUUAUUGGAGUCAGAAUCAAGCGUACGAAUAGUCAAAUCGAAGGUAUCGAAGAGUAGAACCUAUAUCUGCAAUCAAAAACAACAUGAGAUUCAUAGGUAGGGAGUAGUUGAAGUUUUAAAAUUCGAAGUUAUUAAGAUUUAAAUAGUGGAUUUUUGUAAACGUGUUUGUUUGAUUGUUUUGAUGUUUCCAUGUUGUAGUACGUGCUUUUCUCGUCGUUUUGGUAUAUUAUAUGUUGAUUUUUGAGUUCGAUAACAUAUAGAAAAAGGGGUUUGAUUAUCGAAGCUUGUUCUUGAAUGUUCUUGAAGGUGUAUGAAUGUUCUUAAUUGAAAAUUAGGGGUUUUUAAUUCGUUAAUUCUGGGAAGAAUUGAAGGUUACCAGCGUGUUUGUAUGGUUGAGAGGAGUCCGCGUGUGUAAUUCUCGAGGGUGGAGGAGCUCGUUUUCGAGCUAAUCGGAGAAAAUAGCCGCGGCGGGGACGGCGACUUUUCGCCGGCUUUUUCCGGCCGAUUGGCUGAUUUGUUUCGAAAUACAAGCAGUAAAAUAGAUUCUUGAGGUUAUAAAAGUUUAAUCUGGAGGUUUUGGUGUCGAACGGAGGUUUGCAGUGCCGUUUCCGGCGAAGUCGGGUACCGGCGGUGGCAAAUUGCCGUUUGGUACCCAGACUUAUGAAGAUGAUGAAGUUAUGGUAUCGAAGUUUUAAAUCUUACAAACCAACCCCUGAAACUUCUGAAAGUUACACUUUAUACCCUGGCCGAAAACUUUCAAAAGUUUACAAAAUAAACCUUUUGAUUUAAUUUUCAAAAAUUGUUUUAUUUAAUUAUUUUAAAUUCCAAAAAUAGUUUUUAAUUAUUUCUUUAUUCAAAAAUAAAUCUAAAUUAGUUUAUUAAUUAAUUUUAAUUAGUAAUUAAUUAUUUUAAUUGGUCAAUUAAUUUAAAUAUUAAUUGAUUAAUUAUUUUAAUUAAUUAUUAAUUGAUUUUAAUUGAUUAAUUAAUUGGAUUUAAUUAUCCUUUUUGAUUUAAAAAUUCCGAAAAAUAGUUUCGAGCUUUAAAAUAUUUUUCCAAAUUAUUUUCAAGGCUCGAUAAUUGUUUAUGAAUGAUUUCAAGUCCAAUUUCAAGUAUUUGGGACUUGAUUAUUUAUUCGAAAAGUGAUUCUUUUAUCGAUUUUAAUUCCGAAAAAUGUUUAAAAAUUCUGGAAAAUUCCCGAAAAAUCAUUUUUAACCCAAGACUUGAUUUAAUAUCAAUUGGGAUGGGAAACCUUAUGUGUUGUGUGUUGUCUGCUAUUGGUUGGAUGUGUUAUGUGCCGAUAGGAGAGUGAGAAAACUGUUUUGAGCAUAACUUUUGAUCCGUAAGUCGGAAUCAAGUGAAACGAAAGAGAGACAGAAGCUUAUAACGUCUAUUUUAAUAUGAUGUGACUAUAUGGCUGAGUCUAUAAGGUGAAUAAUUGUUGAUAAGUAUGCAUAAUGUGAUAAUAUGUGAUCUAAGUGCUAUCAAGUGAUGAUUAUGUGAAGUACGUGUUAGUUUUGAUAUUGUGAAGUGAUAAAUGAUUCGUAUGAUUGAUAUUGGAUAAGAAUAUAUGGAUUAUAGUUAUUGGAUUUUGUUGGUUGAUUAAUGAUUGAGAUAGGAUAAUAGGUGGAUAGUCUUAUACAUAGACGAGACGAUGUCGGAUUUUCGAUAAGGAUUUAUAUGAUAAUUGAUUGGUGAUAUGUUAUGUGGAAUAUGAUUGACUAUAUGUUAGAGUCAAAGCAUGCUUAUGUGUUACGUGGUAUCUGAUAAGUUUAAAGGGGUAUAUAAGUGGGUAUCGGUAUACGUGAUAUGUAUAUGCGAUAUAUUGUUUAGUGACUAUAGUAUUAUCUUAUUCUCGUAAAGGAUUUGGACGAGACGUGUACGCUCGAAGACGUCAGGAAGUCGAAAUGGUAUUGCAAAGCGAAUAAGGGAUGAAUCGAGUAAGCGAAGCGAAGAUGUACGGUAGAUAGAGUAUAGCCAGAGAUGGUCUAGAGACUAUGAGAUGCAUAGAUUGUGAAAGUGGAAAGAUGAGAUUGAGAUGUGAGACUGGAGUCAGAUUUAAGGCAAGUAUCCUAAACCUUUCUCUUGGAUAUAUUGCAAAUAUUCUGAUCCAUUCCUUUGGUAUAUGUUUCAAGUAUUCAUACCUUUCUUUUCAAUGUUCGAAAGUGCGAGUAUUCUGACCCAUUCUUUCUAAUCUUCAAGUUUCUAAAGAAUUUCCGUUUUACAAAUUAAUUCGAAGUUCAGAUUGUCAUUGAAGCAUGUGUUGCUCAGUGAUAGUUAGAGCUUUGAAUGAAUUGGGAUCUUCUUGAUUAUUCAACCCGCCAUUGUCAUGCUGGUUUAGCAGGCUAAAUUCAGUUGCUUAGCCGAUAAUGGAGGAUACUGAAUAGUUGAGGAUUUCCUGAACUGUGAUUUAUGAAAUGAUGGAUCAUGAUUUAUGAAUAGAUUAUUAUCAAAGUUUGAAUUGGAAUUAUUCUGUUGUUGAUGAUAUUUAUGAUGAUGUUCUGUUAAUUUACAUUGGCUUCUUGAAUUGAAUUAGAGAAUUGGAUUAUUGUUUUUAUAUAAACCUGUGGACCAGAUUCGUGGUCAUGUUAGGCCAAUGAGUGCCUUGGAUCCAGUGAUAGAGCAUGGCGGGGCCUGCUCGGGGUUAGUGCGGAACUGAUCAGCUGCCUAACCUUGGUUUUAAUUAAAAUGUGAUAGUCCAAUUCAAUAAUUCUUUGGAAAGAUUGAAUUUCUCAGUUUAAAUGCUGCAAGGUAUUGUAAAUCAUUCUAUACAAUACCAUGAACUCAUGAACUCAUGUUGAAUCCUUUUAUAUCUUGAACUCGUGAACUUCUAUUAUAUCAUUUCAGAACUAUCAUUGUUUAUUAUUACUUGCUGAGCAUUGUUGCUCACCCUUGCUAUUCCUUUCUAACCAUUUCAGAAAGGCUUAAAGAUGAGAUGAUUGAUUGAGAUUGUGAGUAAGGCUAAUGCUAGGCGAGGAGACAGAGUUGAGGAUCCAGUGGUCGAGG